GUAGGUGGCAAGCGUUGUCCGGAAUUAUUGGGCGUAAAGCGCGCGCAGGCGGUCCUUUAAGUCUGAUGUGAAAGCCCACGGCUCAACCGUGGAGGGUCAUUGGAAACUGGGGGACUUGAGUACAGAAGAGGAAAGCGGAAUUCCAAGUGUAGCGGUGAAAUGCGUAGAGAUUUGGAGGAACACCAGUGGCGAAGGCGGCUUUCUGGUCUGUAACUGACGCUGAGGCGCGAAAGCGUGGGGAGCAAACAGGGAUUAGAUACCCUGGUAGUCCACGCCGUAAACGAUGAGUGCUAAGUGUUAGGGGGUUUCCCGCCCCUUAGUGCUGCAGCUAACGCAUUAAGCACUCCACCUGGGGGAUACGGCCGCAAGGCUG
rnacentral:rRNA from 1 species